rnacentral:rRNA from 1 species
AGCUCCAGUAGCGUAUAUUAAAGUUGUUGCAGUUAAAAAGCUCGUAGUUGGAUUUCUGGCAUGCAUCCUGGCCCGGCCGACUCUGUCGCGCUGAGUGUUGGUGUAUUGUUUGCCAUCCUUCUAGAAACCGGCCGCCCUCUUCACUGAGGGUGGAGCCCUGGAAUCUAGAUCUUUUACUUUGAAAAAAUUAGAGUGUUCAAAGCAGGCUUGCGCUAUGAAUACAUUAGCAUGGAAUAAUAAUUUAGGACUUCGGUUCUAUUUGUUGGUUCUAGAGUCGAAGUAAUGAUUGAUAGGGAUAGUUGGGGGUGCUAGUAUUUGGCGGCCAGAGGUGAAAUUCUCGGAUUCGCUAAAGACUAACUUAUGCGAAAGCAUUCACCAAGGAUGUCUUCU